rnacentral:rRNA from 1 species
AGGACGCAUUUAUCAGAUCAAAGUCAAUGUGUUCGCAAGAACUCUAAACUGUGAUGACUCUGGGUAAAUUUUCGGAUUGAUCUGCUUUUAAGCAGGCGACGUUGAUUGCAAGUGUCUGACCUAUCAACUUUUGAUGGCAGUCGACAUUACUGCCAUGGUUGUAACGGGUAACGGGGAAUCAGGGUUCGAUUCCGGAGAGAGAGCAUGAGAAAUGGCUGUCACAUCCAAGGAAGGCAGCAGGCGCGCAAAUUACCCAAUCCCUGAUCGGGGAGGUAGUGACGAGAAAUAUCAGUACCGGCAUUUAUGUUUGGUAAUUGAAAUGAGAACAAUGAAAGAAUUUUAUCGAGUAUCUAUUGGAGGGCAAGCUCUGGUGCCAGCAGCCGCGGUAAUACCAGCUCGAAAAGCGUAUGUUAAAGUUGCUGCGGUUAAAACGCUCGUCGUUGGACAUCAGGAAAAACUCUGCGGACGAUCAAGUAUCGUUUCCGUGGAUGUAUUCCUUUAUACACCUUUUCUCCGUCUUGCACUUGAAUGUGUGGGACGGUAGAUGGUGAUUGUCACUUUGAGAAAAUUAGUGUGCUCAACACAGGCUUUAUGCUUGUAUAAUGCUGCAUGGGAUGACGGAAUAGGGCCUCGGUUCCGUUUCGUUGGCUUACGAAAGCAGAGGUCAUGAUUAAUCGGGACAGACGGGGGCAUUCGUAUUGUGGUGCUAGAAGUGAAAUUCUGUGACCAUCGCAAGACGAACAACUGCGAAAGCAUUUGCCAAGAAUGU